rnacentral:rRNA from 1 species
UACGGGAGGCAGCAGUGGGGAAUAUUGCACAAUGGGCGAAAGCCUGAUGCAGCUAUGCCGCGUGUAUGAAGAAGGCCUUAGGGUUGUAAAGUACUUUCUGUCGUGAGGAAGGUGUUAAGGUUAAUAACCUUAGCAAUUGACGUUAGCGACAGAAGAAGCACCGGCUAACUCCGUGCCAGCAGCCGCGGUAAUACGGAGGGUGCGAGCGUUAAUCGGAAUUACUGGGCGUAAAGGGCACGCAGGCGGUUAAUUAAGUUGGAUGUGAAAUCCCCGGGCUUAACCUGGGAAUGGCAUUCAAGACUGGUUAGCUAGAGUCUUGUAGAGGGGGGUAGAAUUCCAUGUGUAGCGGUGAAAUGCGUAGAGAUGUGGAGGAAUACCGGUGGCGAAGGCGGCCCCUGGACAAAGGACUGACGCUCAUGUGCGAAAGCGUGGGGAGCAAAC